AUGUUCACAACUUAGUCCUUUAUUACUAGUGGUAAAUGGGUAUAGUAGAUAUAUAAAUGGUAGACCUAAAAUGAUUUUGUCAGUAAGAUUGCGAACUAAAACGAAUGAGGUCUUAAAACACAUGUUGUCCUGACAAAUAUGUACUUUAGGUAAUUUGUACUUUAUUUCCAUUUGACUGCCGUUAGCUGAAUUUAGUUUUUCACUAGUUUUCUUAUAAUAUCUAGUGGGGAUAAUACCUUCUUGAAUACAAUUCAAGUCUGCACCAGUAUCAACGAGAGCAGGGAGCUGUACUGAGAAAGUUUU
rnacentral:lncRNA from 1 species